rnacentral:rRNA from 1 species
CAGUUCGGAUCGGAGUCUGCAACCCGACUCCGUGAAGCUGGAUUCGCUAGUAAUCGCGCAUCAGCCAUGGUGCGGUGAAUACGUUCCCGGGCCUUGUACACACCGCCCGUCAAGCCAUGGGAGCCGGGGGUGCUUGAAGUGCGUCGCCGCAAGGCGCGCCCUAGAGCAAAACCGGUGACUGGGGCUAAGUCGUAACAAGGUAAC